rnacentral:SRP_RNA from 1 species
GCCGGGUGUGGUGGCGUACACCUGUAGUCCCAGCUACUAAGGAGGCUGAGGUGGGAGGCUCACUUGAGCCCAAGAGGCGGAGAUUGCAGUGAACUGUGAUUGUGCCACUGCACUCUAGCCUGGGCAACAAAGAGAGACCCUGUCUAAA